GGGGAAUUUUGGACAAUGGGCGCAAGCCUGAUCCAGCAAUACCGCGUGCAGGAUGAAGGCCUUCUGGUUGUAAACUGCUUUUGUACGGAGCGAAAAGGUCUGCCCUAAUACGGUGGGCUCAUGACGGUACCGUAAGAAUAAGCACCGGCUAACUACGUGCCAGCAGCCGCGGUAAUACGUAGGGUGCGAGCGUUAAUCGGAAUUACUGGGCGUAAAGCGUGCGCAGGCGGUUAUAUAAGACAGAUGUGAAAUCCCCGGGCUCAACCUGGGACCUGCAUUUGUGACUGUAUAGCUAGAGUACGGUAGAGAGGGAUGGAAUACCACGUGUAGCAGUGAAAUGCGUAGAUAUGCGGAGGAACACCGAUGGCGAAGGCAAUCCCCUGGACCUGUACUGACGCUCAUGCACGAAAGCGUGGGGAGCAAACA
rnacentral:rRNA from 1 species